CUGAAGCACCAGUCCCCGUAAAUUCACCGAAAUUAAGCAACGUUGAGCUUGUUCAGUACUCAGAUGGGUGACUGCUUGGGAAUAACAGCU